GUCCCCGUAGCGUAGUGGUCAGCGUUUGUGUGCUUCUCUCCAGCGUUAAUAUAUUUACCCAGCGAUUUGAUUUGAGGCAGCGAAAGAUGUCGGUUUGAAUCCUACCGGGGACA